UGUGACCCUCCCUAUGCUCAGAGGAGGACUGAAAGGCUUUCGUAUUGGUGGGAUUGAGCUUCUUCCUGGUUUGCUGUCAAAAGCAUCAAAAUUCCAUCAGUACCGGUCAUGCACAGCUCCAGUCUCGUGCUUCAGCAACUCAGAACACUAAGCCUCUGGAGAAAACAAAAGCAAACCAUGAUGCUUUUCCCCAUCAAAAUACCCUGUUCCCAAUGAGGUGGUGCACAGAGCUGAUGUGAUACAUCGAUCCCUGAACGCACUCCCCAUCGACUCUGGAAUGCCACCAGGGCAAGGCGCGGAAGUGGAGUCAACGGGGGAGCAGCGGCCGUCGAUCCCGUGCCCUGAGGACGCGAAGUCAGUCAAUCUAAGAUGCGUCAACUUCAGCUACUUGAAAGUGGCUCCUCCCUGCCGAGCUGCUGCAGUGGCCCAAGCCCGACA